UCGAACGGUGAAGCCAAGCUUGCUUGGUGGAUCAGUGGCGAACGGGUGAGUAACACGUGAGCAACCUGCCCUGGACUCUGGGAUAAGCGCUGGAAACGGCGUCUAAUACUGGAUAUGAGCUCCUUCCGCAUGGUGGGGGUUGGAAAGAUUUUUCGGUCUGGGAUGGGCUCGCGGCCUAUCAGCUUGUUGGUGAGGUAAUGGCUCACCAAGGCGUCGACGGGUAGCCGGCCUGAGAGGGUGACCGGCCACACUGGGACUGAGACACGGCCCAGACUCCUACGGGAGGCAGCAGUGGGGAAUAUUGCACAAUGGGCGGAAGCCUGAUGCAGCAACGCCGCGUGAGGGAUGACGGCCUUCGGGUUGUAAACCUCUUUUAGCAGGGAAGAAGCGAAAGUGACGGUACCUGCAGAAAAAGCGCCGGCUAACUACGUGCCAGCAGCCGCGGUAAUACGUAGGGCGCAAGCGUUAUCCGGAAUUAUUGGGCGUAAAGAGCUCGUAGGCGGUUUGUCGCGUCUGCUGUGAAAUCCCGAGGCUCAACCUCGGGCCUGCAGUGGGUACGGGCAGACUAGAGUGCGGUAGGGGAGAUUGGAAUUCCUGGUGUAGCGGUGGAAUGCGCAGAUAUCAGGAGGAACACCGAUGGCGAAGGCAGAUCUCUGGGCCGUAACUGACGCUGAGGAGCGAAAGGGUGGGGAGCAAACAGGCUUAGAUACCCUGGUAGUCCACCCCGUAAACGUUGGGAACUAGUUGUGGGGACCAUUCCACGGUUUCCGUGACGCAGCUAACGCAUUAAGUUCCCCGCCUGGGGAGUACGGCCGCAAGGCUAAAACUCAAAGGAAUUGACGGGGACCCGCACAAGCGGCGGAGCAUGCGGAUUAAUUCGAUGCAACGCGAAGAACCUUACCAAGGCUUGACAUAUACGAGAACGGGCCAGAAAUGGUCAACUCUUUGGACACUCGUAAACAGGUGGUGCAUGGUUGUCGUCAGCUCGUGUCGUGAGAUGUUGGGUUAAGUCCCGCAACGAGCGCAACCCUCGUUCUAUGUUGCCAGCACGUAAUGGUGGGAACUCAUGGGAUACUGCCGGGGUCAACUCGGAGGAAGGUGGGGAUGACGUCAAAUCAUCAUGCCCCUUAUGUCUUGGGCUUCACGCAUGCUACAAUGGCCGGUACAAAGGGCUGCAAUACCGUAAGGUGGAGCGAAUCCCAAAAAGCCGGUCCCAGUUCGGAUUGAGGUCUGCAACUCGACCUCAUGAAGUCGGAGUCGCUAGUAAUCGCAGAUCAGCAACGCUGCGGUGAAUACGUUCCCGGGUCUUGUACACACCGCCCGUCAAGUCAUGAAAGUCGGUAACACCUGAAGCCGGU
rnacentral:rRNA from 1 species